ACGGGAUCCAGACUUCGGUCUGGUGAGAGUGGCGGACGGGUGAGUAACGCGUGGGAACCUGCCCAAUGGUCUGAGAUAACCGCGGGAAACUGCGGCUAAUACCGGAUAAGCCCGAGAGGGGAAAGAUUUAUCGCCGAUGGAGGGGCCCGCGUCCGAUUAGGUAGUUGGUGAGGUAACGGCUCACCAAGCCUACGAUCGGUAGCUGGUCUGAGAGGAUGAUCAGCCACACUGGGACUGAGAUACGGCCCAGACUCCUACGGGAGGCAGCAGUGGGGAAUAUUGGACAAUGGGGGCAACCCUGAUCCAGCAAUGCCGNNNNNNUGAUG
rnacentral:rRNA from 1 species